rnacentral:lncRNA from 12 species
AUUAGUGCAAUAUAUCCUGAAAGCCUAUCACUUUAGAAAUCUGUGUUUAUAGAUAGCAAAGAAAAGAUUUGAGGGUAGCAAAAUUGAGAAAGAAACAGGCACGUGGAGGGCUCAGGAUGAUGAACAUCUCUUUUUGACAGAUGAAGAGCUUCUCCCUCCCAGGAGCCAACGCUGUCCCUCUCCCAGUGGUUGUGCCAUGGAGACAACUCCUGGAGACGUGUCCUCUACCAAAUUGAUGCCACGCGACCAGCUCUUGGCGGGGCUGGACUGGAUGCAGAUCUUCUGAGUCUCAGCCGCACACUUUCUCCAACACCUCUGAACUUUGAGAUGAAUGAAAAAUACUGUAUGUACAUGAAACAGAAGCUCUAUUCUAGGUUAGCCCAUGGAUCCAAAUGGUUUGAUCGUGUGUGCACAUGCACGUGGGUUUUGGAAACCUUUAGCAGUCAGUGGCCUUUGCUCCUUUGGCUUCUGAAAUGACCUCAACCAGGAAGUUCCUAAUUUGGGGACCUAUUGUUGAAAUGGUUCUUCGGUCUACAACUGUAGUGGGGAGAAAAAAAAAUCCAAAAUCCAGAUUCCUCCCUCUAGAAGGUGGAUUCCUAGCCUGAAGGU